rnacentral:rRNA from 1 species
CAACUCUUAGCGGUGGAUCACUCGGCUCGUGCGU